AGAAGCUUAGGUUAAUAUCAAACCAGGGGCCUUCAAAGCCCCAAACAAGAGUUCAACCCUUUUAGCUCCUG
rnacentral:tRNA from 1 species